CGCCUGAUCAUCACACGAAAGUAGAUUGAAGCCAACUAAUAUAAAAUGACUGAAAUAAUGUAAAUGCUCUUCCCCUCGCUAAUCACUUCUAUUCUUUCAGUAUAUUGUUUAUAUGUAUUUCAUCUUUCAGGCUUGCUGUAUUUUAGUUGUACACUCAGAGAAAGUAAAAAAGAAAAGUAAAUGGUGAAAUAAAAAAAUUUUUAUUUCUGUUAAGAAACCAAAAACAAACUAAAAUGAUUGUUUUCCUCAAAGUUCAUGCGCACUGAAAUGCUGAGAACAAAAGAGAAAGGCAAGGUCAGUCAUGUCCUCAAGUUUUUCUUACUCCUCAUUGUUUUCUUGAGUUUGCUAGAACUCUCAUUGUAGCCUGGCCUGUCAUUUACAGAACGAUGCCGAUCUUCUGUCCUUAACAAUGUUUAAUAUUUAAUUUAAAUUUUUUUCUGCUUUUUUCAGCUAUUCAUGAUAUUUUUGUGAGGUUGAAAGAUUUCAUUUUUUAAACAGCGAUUCAUGAAGGGUUUUAAAAAUGAAGUUGCCAGGACAGACAUAAAAAUUCACAUUUUAGGUGAUUAUUGUCUGUUGUUGAUGACCCUAACAUCCAUGUCUUCUUGAUGACGAUGAAUACCUGUAAGCAUAUAAAGAUUGGUUUCACGUGAAGACGUCAAUGGAUGAGUAAUAUUUGCACCUUUUAUUCUUUUUGUCUUUCUUCCAAAAGGGCUUUCUGCAUCGGGACUGGCUCAUCCACAAUAUAUCGUUGUUAUGACCAGAAGUCGGCUGUCACCAACAAGAAACUUAGUUUAUACAGCCACUCCACGAUCAAGAGGGCCGAUUAGCUACUUCUCCGAUACAGAAACUAAAGUCCAUUUUCGUCAAUGUCUAGUUUAUGAAUCUUUGUUUAUGCGGAAAUACUUCUGUGAAGUUGUCUUCACCACUGUAGUUUCCGCUUCACAAUCUGUUCUUCCUGUCAACGUUCUACUUUUCUAUUUAAUGUUUCGCCAUUGAGCAUCUAGAGCAUCCAACCUCUUGUACAUCAAUUGAUGUUAUCAUCAUCCCAUGUCCAUUUCAAUGCAAGAGGGUUAAUAAAAAUAAACAGCUUUGAAAGGUUUUGCAUUCUCCUCAGAACACGGACAUUGUGUGUACACACCAACCGUGCUGACGGUUAAUACAUUAUUUCCUGUUUAACUAUAAGUACUGACACCAGCUGGCUCAAACCUUUGAGUUGUUUCAAUAGCGUGGACAAACGAGAAUGCUUAAAAAUCCAGAAGGAAGUUUUACAAUUUCGUAGACAUUUAAAUAGUGCAGAACGAAACAAAACCGAGAAAUGACUAAUAGGUCAACAACGAACAUAGAUAAGUGGGAUUUCCCAGGCAAAGGGCCACGAGUGAGGCAGGAAGCAGUUGUCUAGAUACUUGAUAGGAGCAGGAUCUUUCCACUAAGCAUCUCGUCAGCGAUGGCGACAAUAAUGAAGACCAUGUUGUAUUUGUCUCUCUUUGCUUUACUUACAGCAGCUGACAAAAACAAAGAUCAGAUAAUAGAAACAUGUGCCGCCUUGGAUCUUGUCGGAAUGAGCUCAGGACAGCGAUAUCGAAGCUAAACAAGACACUCCGUUAGCAUAACCUUUGAACUGACCACCCAGAACUGUUCUUAUAGUCCAAAGAUGUUUCUCGUUACAGUCUCAUAUUUGGAGGAAGAAGAACAAACUCCUGUCUGUACAGUAGCUUUCAAAAUGGAAGACUUGCAGUGUGGGAAACUUGAUACCAUCGUGCAGGUGUACUCAGAAUGGUCGAUUGAUUGGUUAUAUUGAUACACACGUGAACAGAAAGUCCUUAAGGUUACAGGCUGGAGUGGACCGACUCAAGCAGAAUUAACACUGAAAGAGAAAAAUCUGUUCUCAUCAGAAUUACUUCGACCAGGAACAAUGCUCUGAUAAUCAGCAUGGCGGUCUUAUGUCCUGCAAUGUUCAUCAUCAUCAUUGUUGCAGUCGUGGUGUGGAUACGGCGGAAACGCAGAGCGGCCGGUGGUCAUCUGGAGGGACGAAUAGCAAACUAUCUGCAGCUUGCAGAGAAGAGAAUGUCAUCUCUGGGAUCAGCAAUCAGACGGCGCUCAGCUUUCAUUUAGUUCUUUGCUCCUUUCGUCUUUGCGCUAUGUUAGAGCUCAAGAGUGUGGCCAGAAUUUUGCCAAUUGAUUGUCAUUUGUACGCUUUAAGUAAAAAGAGUGCCAGAAAGAAAAACUACCGAACAAUAUCAAGAUGAAGUAUUUUUUGUGAAAAGAAAAUUCACUAUUCAAGGGAUUGCAGAAGUGUCGUCUGAACCCUUGUUUAAUUGUCGAAAGUUUAAAGCUGUCUCUCUGAAAAAAUCUUCUGAUUGAAAAGCAAAAGAAUUAUAAUUUUUUAAAGAAAAAAAAUCUCAUUCCCUAAUUACUUGCACAUAUUUCUUGAUGAUGUUCUUUAAAUGUCUUUCAAUGUACUUCCCGCCAUAAGGUAUUUAAAUUACAGUUGGAUGUCUACUCUGUCGCUGGCGUGUGAUAUACACGGAGUUUUGUGGCAACUCUCUGAUUUUGACUGAUUUGGCUGUUUUUUGCAAUGCGUAUUAUUUGUUCUGAUUUCGUCUGCAUAUUUUUUGUUACCAAAAGAGAAAAAUAAGGUAAACAUUGAAAAUAAAUUCUCUUCACUGC